CAAUCCGGAUAAUCGCUGCUUACUUGAUAAGUAGAGGAAAGUCCAUGCUCGCACACUCUGAGAUGAGUGUAGUGAUUGUGCUAGAGGAAAAAAUAACUCUAGGUAGGCUGAGCACCUAACGGCAGGUAGUUUACCUAAGUUGUAAAAUAUGGUAAACCCUUGAAAGUGCCACAGUGACGAUUUGUUAAGAAAUUAACAAGUGGAACGGGUAAACCCCACAAGCGAGAAACCCAAAUUUGGUCGGGGAACUUUUUUUGAAGAAAUGAAUUCAAAAAAGGAUGCGUAAGCAUAGAUAAAUGAUUAUCGAUAACAGAACAUGGCUUAUAGGA
rnacentral:RNase_P_RNA from 1 species